GAUUCACACCGUGACAAAAACCUCUGAGCUUCACUUCUGCUUUAAAGCUGCUUCAGAAAGGAGAGAAGAUGUGCAUUCACUCAAGCUGAACCAGGCUCUCUCAGCCAUAGAGCCAUUUAAGCAACGUUAGCAAAUAAAAGUCUCCAGUUGCCAAAGCUGGACAACUACAAGCAGCCAAAUCAAAAAUAUCAAUCAGCAAGAAGUCACCAAAAAACAACAGUCAGUGAAGUGUUUGUAUAUUUGGCAUCUGUAAUAAUAGAAGCAUUCACCGUGUCUAACUCAAUCCAGCCAGUCGACUGUUUAGGCACUUCACUUUGUACAUGCUAUAUCUUCCCCAAAAAAGAACAUAAAUGCCUACAUGCUGAGCACAUGGAAAUUAUUCAUUCUUCUGAAGCAAAACCUACCCCAUUACAUUUAUAUUUAAGGCAUUCAGCAGGUGCUCUUGUCCAGAGCAACUUAAACUGCUUGCAUCCUUUGCAUACAAUUCAUUUGUAAGGCGGAAUAUUUACUGGAGCAAUUUAGGCUAAGUGCCUUGUUCAAGGAAACAACAGUUAUUUCCCCCCCGGGAAUCCAACCUAUAACUCUGGAGUCACACGCCCAUUUUCCUAAUCAUUAUGUGACGCUGCCCCCACGUCAUGCAAUCUCUGUCUCCUUACGAUGUUUAAAGAUCAUUGAUAUAAAUAUGCAUUACCCAGGGUACACAAUGCUCACACUAAUUACCUUUUACAACAAUGAUGGUUUAAGAUGUAAUAUGAACAUGUGAUUUAAUUACUGAGGUGCUGAUAUUAUUAAUGGCUUCAUUAAUUAUAUUAAUAAAACAAUGUCAAUAUUUCUUCUGACUUCAGGUUCUGACUACAGAAUGUUCACACACUCCUAUUGACUGAAUAGGAAUUGAAUAACAUUUCACUUAUGUGCAAGAUGUGCAUAUCUCCAAUAUGACUAAUUGUAUGAAAUCUGCAGCGAGCAGCUGACUGGCUGAACCCUAGCUUUAGGGAAAUUGUGAUUGGCUGAGUUCAGAGGCUCGUCCCUUCACAUUUUCCUUUAUAAGCAAUGCUGUAGUCUCUCCUCUCCUCACACUCCAACCUGCUCAUCUCUCAGCUGGACAGUAAGGGCUGUUCAUUCCACACACUGACAACAUGCUGGGGACCCUCUGCACUCUCAUCGCUGUGCUCUCAUGUGUCAGUGGCCAGAAGGUUUUGACACAGAAACCCUCAGUGCUGAGUGUGAAUAAACAGCAGAAAGCCACAAUGGACUGUAAUAUAGCCAGAGAUGA